rnacentral:rRNA from 1 species
CUCGCCUGCAUGAAGCUGGAAUUGCUAGUAAUCGCGGAUCAGCAAGCCGCGGUGAAUACGUUCCCGGGCCUUGUACACACCGCCCGUCACACCAUGAGAGUCGGGAACACCCGAAGUCCGUAGUCUAACCGCAAGGGGGGCGCGGCCGAAGGUGGGUCCGGUAAUUGGGGUGAAGUCGUAACAAGGUAUC